UGAACCUGAGAAAUACCAUGGUUCUUAUUGCAGCAUCUUAGCAAGUCAGUGGAGCUGCUGAAUGAGAAGUAUGAAAUUGUGCAGCUGAGCUAUAGUCAGCAGCUGCUUCUUGUUUCAACAUUGUACAGAAGCAUUGUAUGUUGUCACAGAGAGGACCGCUGGAAAGUCGCACAGGUUGGACAGAAGGAGAGAAAAACGCUUGGCAGACUAGGAGCUACAUUUUGCCUUGGUUCUGGACGUCCCCAGGAAUUGGUGGUGUACUCAAGUAGACCUGGUCUGCGAGUCUGGCUUGCAGAUAAGGAUGGUCUUGUUCAGCAAACACUUAUUUAUAAGGAUGCUGUGAUGAAGGAACAUACACACACACCACUCAUCAAUCCUGCUCCUUCUCAUGUUAGGCAGUCUCGUGGUGAUCACCAGUUUGGCCCUCUUCUGGUAUUCCGAGAAAAUCUCUUAGUGAUCUACAGCAGUGAUGUGGUGUAUGUUUUAAACCCAGCAGCUAUUACUGUGGUAGCUACUGUAGCAGAUCUACGGGGAGUGCAGGACAUAGCCGUUAACAAAGAUGAAAUAUUUAUCUUGGAAGAGGGAAGAAGUCUCGUUAGAGUGGCAUACACACCAGAGAAUACAGCUUCUUUAGUACAAGGUUGGUAAGUCACCUACAUUUAUGCAUUAGUAAAGUGAUAAUUUUCUUUCUUAUGAUUAAAGACUACAUAACUUUGAUUCACAUUUAUUACAUGAUCAGAUUAUACACUAUAAUUCAAUCAACAAGUUAAGAGUCAUCUCCAAACUAUGGUCUGUGCUGGACAAGGAAUAAUUGUUAAAAUUUUCUAAGUAAAACAGCUUAUAAAAAAAUUUGUAAUUCCUAAACUUAUUAACAUAUCUAAAUGAUUUGAAGAUUGGAAUGUAGAUAAAUGUCCAGGGAACAUUUGGUACUGUUUACAUUGAACAUUUAACUGUUUGUUAUUAUUAGUCAAACAUAACCUAAUUUCUCUUCAAACCACAUAGUUUGUAAACAGGCAGUGCUUUGCUAUUAACUGAUGCAUUGUUUCUAAUAUAUUAUUGCCAACUCUACUUUAUUAUCACUGUUAUUCAGUUCAGAACCACUCUGCACAAGUAAUUCCUCAUGUACUUUGUCUUAGAUGCCACCAAUCCUUCUGUGGUUUGCCAUCAUUUUCAUGAAAUCACUUUAUUUUUUAUAAUGGAACCACUAAAUUCCCAUGGUAUCUGAAGUGUUUAGUUGAUAAAAUGAAUAUUCUUUGCCAAUAAAAGUUUAAAAAAUCAUUGUGCAUUAAGUUGCAGUUUUUGUUGCUGAUCCCAGGCAUUUCUAUGAAUUUUUGAAAUAAUAUGCAACAAUUUGCAUUUAGUUAAAUGUUGUGUAUCACUGGGGCCCAAACAUUAUUCUGUUUGUAGACUUAUUGCAGCAAAGGUUUAUAGUUUUCCUGUUGUGAAAUUUCAUAGUUUGUAGGUUGUAUGAAAUAUGAGAUGGCCCCUUCCUUUCAGCAUGUCUGUUUUUACUUUCUCUCUUGUAAAUACUCUUACUUUCCUAAUUAUGUUAUGUAUAUUACUGCAAACUGCCAAUGCCAGUUUUUUGAAUGCUAAGUUAUAUUCUGGUUUUGCAGAGUUUAAUACAUAAUGUAUGGAUCUGCCUAUUCUGACACUGAGACAGAAUCAGCUAAGCAUAGUUUUUGUGGAAAGAGCUUUAUAUUUGUAUUAGAUGGCACUGUUUCUGUACCAGUGUCAGUGAGAUCCUAUGCAGAUUUUUACAUGUUUUCCCUAUACGUUACCUCUGACACAGAACUUUGGGAAUGUGGCAAAUGCCAGAUCCCUGCUGUGGUACAGUAUCAUUGUUACACUGCAGAUCAUGUCUGCUGGCUGUUAUUAUGCUGUCAUGGGGAGUAAAUUAAAAUAUGUUAUACAAAUGCU